rnacentral:rRNA from 1 species
CAAGUCGAGUGCGCGGUGCCGUAGCAAUACGGUACUGGCGCACGGCGCACGGGUGCGUAACACGUGGGUAAUCUGCCCUCUGAUGGGGAAUAACCCCGCGAAAGCGGGGCUAAUACCGCAUAACAUUCCUUGGACUCCGGUUUGAGGACUCAAAGCCGUAAGGCGUCGGAGGUGGAGCCCGCGCACGAUUAGCUAGUUGGUAGGGUAACGGCCUACCAAGGCUAUGAUCGUUAGCUGGUCUGAGAGGAUGGCCAGCCACACUGGAACUGAGACACGGUCCAGACUCCUACGGGAGGCAGCAGUGGGGAAUCUUGCGCAAUGGGCGAAAGCCUGACGCAGCGACGCCGCGUGGGGGAUGAAGCUUCUCGGAGUGUAAACCCCUUUCGACCGGGACGAAUGCCCGCAAGGGAGUGACGGUACCGGUAUAAGAAGCCCCGGCUAACUACGUGCCAGCAGCCGCGGUAAGACGUAGGGGGCCAGCGUUGUUCGGAAUUACUGGGUGUAAAGGGUUCGUAGGCGGUGUGGCAAGUCGGGAGUGAAAUCUCUGGGCUCAACUCAGGGGCUGCUUCCGAAACUGCUGUGCUAGAGUGUGGGAGAGGCGCGUGGAAUUGCAGGUGUAGCGGUGAAAUGCGUAGAUAUCUGCAGGAACACCCGUGGCGAAAGCGGCGCGCUGGACCACUACUGACGCUGAGGAACGAAAGCUAGGGGAGCAAACAGGAUUAGAUACCCUGGUAGUCCUAGCCCUAAACGAUCAGGACUUGGGGUGCCACCCGUUCGGGUGUCGUCCCGGAGCUAACGCGUUAAGUCCUGCACCUGGGGAGUACGGUCGCAAGACUGAAACUCAAAGGAAUU